AGAUAUGUCGCUCCACAAGUUCUGACUUUGGGACAUGUUGGUACGAGGAUGCAAUUGGGGCGGGACAGUUCACCAUGGCAGCCUCACGACUCUUUCUGGACUCACUCUUGAUCCCGGCUGGAGUUUUCAUUAAAGUGAAGGGCUGCAAUGUAUAUUCUGAAAAAAGAGAAGAACAGCGUACAUUUGAGUUUUGAAUAAAAGGAGAAAAUACUUACCUGGCCUUCAUUGCACCAUAAAAAAAAUGCAGAGCUUUAGGUGCAAAAUGACACAC